GACGAACGCUGGCGGCGUGCUUAACACAUGCAAGUCGAACGGAAAGGCCCUGCUUUUGUGGGGUGCUCGAGUGGCGAACGGGUGAGUAACACGUGAGUAACCUGCCCUUUACUUUGGGAUAACUUCAGGAAACUGGGGCUAAUACCGGAUAGGAGCUCCUGCUGCAUGGUGGGGGUUGGAAAGUUUCGGCGGUUGGGGAUGGACUCGCGGCUUAUCAGCUUGUUGGUGGGGUAGUGGCUUACCAAGGCUUUGACGGGUAGCCGGCCUGAGAGGGUGACCGGCCACAUUGGGACUGAGAUACGGCCCAGACUCCUACGGGAGGCAGCAGUGGGGAAUAUUGCAAAAUGGGCGGAAGCCUGAUGCAGCAACGCCGCGUGCGGGAUGACGGCCUUCGGGUUGUAAACCGCUUUCGCCUGUGACGAAGCGUGAGUGACGGUAAUGGGUAAAGAAGCACCGGCUAACUACGUG
rnacentral:rRNA from 1 species